rnacentral:lncRNA from 1 species
GGGUUUCAAUAAAUGAUCUGUUAUUUUGUAUUGGAAAUAAAUCUCAUGUGGUAUAUUUUAAACGAUGUAGGUAAAUUGUGACAUGUAAGGUUGGUCCAAAAUAGAUACAUGAUUUUUUUAGCAAUCAGAUUUAGAGUUAUAGGAAGAAUGAGGUUUCCUUGAACAAUAUUUCUCAAAGGGUGUGGAUUUCUUUUUGAAACAUAAUGAAACUUGCUAGUAAGAUAAUU